GCGGCCGGGAUGCGGCGGUCCGCGUCGCACAACUCGCUGUCCGGGUCCGAUGACUUCGACCUCACACACCUGCUCAACAAGCCGCGGAUCAACGUCGAGCGCCAGCGCUCCUUCGACGACCGUUCGCUCAGCGACGUCUCCUACUCCGGUGGCCACGCCAGGGGAGGCGGAGGCUUUGACGGCAUGUACUCCCCGGGCGGCGGUCUACGCUCUCUGGUCGGCACGCCGGCCUCCUCGGCGCUCCACUCUUUCGAGCCCCACCCCAU
rnacentral:lncRNA from 1 species